GAUGAACGCUGGCGGCGUGCUUAACACAUGCAAGUCGAACGGUGAACGAGGGAGCUUGCUCCCUCCGGAUCAGUGGCGAACGGGUGAGUAACACGUGAGCAAUCUGCCCUGGACUCUGGGAUAAGCGUUGGAAACGACGUCUAAUACCGGAUACGAGACGCGAAGGCAUCUUCAGCGUCUGGAAAGAACUUCGGUCCAGGAUGAGCUCGCGGCCUAUCGGGUAGUUGGUGAGGUAACUGCUCACCAAGCCUACGACGGGUAGCCGGCCUGAGAGGAUGACAGGCCACACUGGGACUGAGACACGGCCCAGACUCCUACGGGAGGGAGGAGUGGGGAAUAUUGCACAAUGGGCUCAAGCCUGAUGCGGCAACGACGCGUGAGGGACGACGGCCUUCGUGUUGUAAACCUCUUUUAGCAGGAAAGAAGCGAAAGUGACGGUCCCUGCAGAAAAAGCACCGGCUAACUACGUGCAAGCAGCCGCCGUAACAC
rnacentral:rRNA from 1 species